rnacentral:rRNA from 1 species
UACGUAGGGUGCGAGCGUUAAUCGGAAUUACUGGGCGUAAAGCGUGCGCAGGCGGUUUUGUAAGCCAGAUGUGAAAUCCCCGGGCUUAACCUGGGAAUGGCAUUUGGGACUGCAAGGCUUGAGUGCGGCAGAGGAGACUGGAAUUCCUGGUGUAGCAGUGAAAUGCGUAGAUAUCAGGAGGAACACCGAUGGCGAAGGCAGGUCUCUGGGCUGACACUGACGCUCAUGCACGAAAGCGUGGGGAGCAACAG